rnacentral:rRNA from 1 species
UUUGACGUUACCUACAGAAGAAGCACCGGCUAACUCCGUGCCAGCAGCCGCGGUAAUACGGAGGGUGCGAGCGUUAAUCGGAAUUACUGGGCGUAAAGCGCAUGCAGGCGGCCUGUUAAGUCAGAUGUGAAAGACCCGGGGCGUUAACCUCGGAAUUGCAUUUGAAACUGGCAGGCUAGAGUCUUGUAGAGGGGGGUAGGAAGUUUCAGGUGUAGCGGUGAAAUAGCGUAGAGAUCUGAAGGAAUACCAGUGGCGAAGGCGGCCCCCUCGGACAAAGACUGACGCUCAGAUGCGAAAGCGUGGGGAGCAAACAGGAUUAGAUACCCUGGUAG